rnacentral:rRNA from 1 species
AUUGAACGCUGGCGGCAUGCCUUACACAUGCAAGUCGAACGGCAGCACGGGAGCUUGCUCCUGGUGGCGAGUGGCGAACGGGUGAGUAAUACAUCGGAACGUACCCUGAAGUGGGGGAUAACGUAGCGAAAGUUACGCUAAUACCGCAUAUUCUGUGAGCAGGAAAGAGGGGGAUCGCAAGACCUCUUGCUUUAGGAGCGGCCGAUGUCGGAUUAGCUAGUUGGUGAGGUAAAGGCUCACCAAGGCGACGAUCCGUAGCGGGUAUGAGAGGAUGAUCCGCCACACUGGGACUGAGACACGGCCCAGACUCCUACGGGAGGCAGCAGUGGGGAAUUUUGGACAAUGGGCGCAAGCCUGAUCCAGCCAUGCCGCGUGAGUGAAGAAGGCCUGG